rnacentral:rRNA from 1 species
AGUGAACGCUGGCGGUAGGCCUAACACAUGCAAGUCGAACGGCAGCACAGUAAGAGCUUGCUCUUACGGGUGGCGAGUGGCGGACGGGUGAGGAAUACAUCGGAAUCUACUUUUUCGUGGGGGAUAACGUAGGGAAACUUACGCUAAUACCGCAUACGGCCUACGGGUGAAAGCAGGGGAUCUUCGGACCUUGCGCGAUUGAAUGAGCCGAUGUCGGAUUAGCUAGUUGGCGGGGUAAAGGCCCACCAAGGCGACGAUCCGUAGCUGGUCUGAGAGGAUGAUCAGCCACACUGGAACUGAGACACGGUCCAGACUCCUACGGGAGGCAGCAGUGGGGAAUAUUGGACAAUGGGCGCAAGCCUGAUCCAGCCAUACCGCGUGGGUGAAGAAGGCCUUCGGGUUGUAAAGCCCUUUUGUUGGGAAAGAAAAGCAGCAGGUUAAUACCCCGCCGUUCUGACGGUACCCAAAGAAUAAGCACCGGCUAACUUCGUG